rnacentral:rRNA from 1 species
GACGAACGCUGGCGGCGCGCUUAACACAUGCAAGUGGAGCGACGAACCGGGGCUUGCCCCGGGCAGAGCCGCGAACGGGUGAGUAACACGUGGGUUACCUACCCCAAUGACCGGGACAACCCGAGGAAACUCGGGCUAAUACCGGAUGUGGUCUUCGGACGAAAGGAAGCUUCGGCCUCCGCAUUGGGAUGGGCCCGCGGCGCAUUAGCUUGUUGGUGGGGUAACGGCCUACCAAGGCGACGAUGCGUAGCNGGUCUGAGAGGACGAUCAGCCACACUGGGACUGAGACACGGCCCAGACUCCUACGGGAGGCAGCAGUGGGGAAUCUUGCGCAAUGCGCGAAAGCGUGACGCAGCAACGCCGCGU